AGUGAACGCUGGCGGUAGGCCUAACACAUGCAAGUCGAACGGCAGCACAGUAAGAGCUUGCUCUUACGGGUGGCGAGUGGCGGACGGGUGAGGAAUACAUCGGAAUCUACUUUUUCGUGGGGGAUAACGUAGGGAAACUUACGCUAAUACCGCAUACGACCUACGGGUGAAAGCAGGGGAUCUUCGGACCUUGCGCGAUUGAAUUAGCCGAUGUCGCAUUAGCUAGUUGGCGGGGUAAAGGCCCACCAAGGCGACGAUCCGUAGCUGGUCUGAGAGGAUGAUCAGCCACACUGGAACUGAGACACGGUCCAGACUCCUACGGGAGGCAGCAGUGGGGAAUAUUGGACAAUGGGCGAAAGCCUGAUCCAGCAAUACCGCGUGGGUGAAGAAGGCCUUCGGGUUGUAAAGCCCUUUUGUUGGGAAAGAAAAGCAGCAGGUUAAUACCCCGCUGUUCUGACGGUACCCAAAGAAUAAGCACCGGCUAACUUCGUG
rnacentral:rRNA from 1 species